ACGAAGGGGGCAAGCGUUGUUCGGAUUUACUGGGCGUAAAGCGUACGUAGGCGGAUGAUUAAGUCAGGGGUGAAAUCCCGGGGCUCAACCUCGGAACUGCCUUUGAUACUGGUCGUCUUGAGUCCGGGAGAGGUGAGUGGAACUCCUAGUGUAGAGGUGAAAUUCGUAGAUAUUAGGAAGAACACCAGUGGCGAAGGCGGCUCACUGGCCCGGAACUGACGCUGAGGUACGAAAGCGUGGGGAGCAAACAG
rnacentral:rRNA from 1 species